CAAAAAGAAAGACAAAAGACAAAAAAAUAAAUAAAUAAAUAAAGUUGAUCAGAAAACAUGGAUUUACAUGCCUUCACCAUCCUGGUUGCCUGGUGAACAACAGGCUUAGCAUGUCUGGGCCUCAGUUUCCCCAUCUGUAAAAUAAAGAGGUUUGAUUUCAUGAUCUUUAAGGUCAUUUUAAUGCCAAUGUUCUGUGUUAAACUCAGGAACCCCUGCAAAGAUGUCCACAUACAUUUCUAAGCAGGGGACGUCCCCCUCCCCUAAAUGUUCCUGUAGCAUUUAUCUGCUGACGGUAGAAAAUGGAGACAUUUAUUUAUUCAAUUUCUCUUCCUCCAACAAAUAGUUUCUGAGUGCCACGAUGUUCCAGGUAAGACCCAUCAAGGGUCUCCUGUUCUAUUCCCAGCUCUGGCAGGAAGCAGGCAGGGAGAGUGGACUGGGUGCCUGGGGGACCCUCUAGCAUCCAUGGGAGCUUGUACCUGUGCCAAGCGCAUUUUAAAAAGGCAAGAGUCAUGGGAAAUGUCGCCCUGAUGAACCUCAUCUGUGGCGGGAGGGUGACGGAGGGGAGGGAGGCGUCGAGGCCGGGCCUAAACCUGGUCCCUGGAGGAGGGUGAUGGGAUGGGGGAAUGCAGGUUUCGCCCUCAGCUUUCUCAGGAUUUAUUUCGUUCGCAGGAUGUGACUCCCAGGCCAGACUGCUCAUUGCUUUCUCCUGAACCUAAGUCUGUCAGCAAAUCUGGUUGGCAGGCGCCUCUGCUACUUGAAUUUUGCAGAGACCAGCCUCAUUGAACUCACCCAAACACUGUCAACAUGUGAAGGCAGGGUGGAGAGAAUGCAAAUACUAAUGAGGCUUGUGAGAUAUCAAAUUCCACAGAGUCUGGGUCAUAGAGAAGCUGAAUCUAUCAGCCGUUCUCCUAGGACAUCUGGCUAAUCCGUUAACUUGCACCACCAGUUAUGAGCCCUCUUUCCACCUGGUUAUUUCGGAGACCACGGUCUUGACCGGCCCUUCCUCAUUUUGGUGCAGUUCCUUCACUUCUGGAAAUCUCUGACUACUCACCAUACACUUACCUGCUCUUUUCAACUCAUAAUCAGAUAUACUGAACUUCAGUUAGGAAACAGAACCCCGUAUAUGCCAAACUUACCUACUUACUGAAACAUCCUUUUUAAAAAUCCUUUCUUUGAAUUAUACCUAGAUUUGUCAUUACACAUAAUAUUAAUUUUCCUUUUUGAUCAUUAAAGAUUCAUGGCUUUUCACAGA